GACGAACGCUGGCGGCGUGCCUAAUACAUGCAAGUAGAACGCACAGUUUAUACCGUAGCUUGCUACACCAUAGACUGUGAGUUGCGAACGGGUGAGUAACGCGUAGGUAACCUGCCUGGUAGCGGGGGAUAACUAUUGGAAACGAUAGCUAAUACCGCAUAAUAUUAAUUAUUGCAUGAUAAUUAAUUGAAAGGUGCAAUUGCACCACUACCAGAUGGACCUGCGUUGGAUUAGCUAGUAGGUGAGGUAACGGCUCACCUAGGCGACGAUACAUAGCCGACCUGAGAGGGUGAUCGGCCACACUGGGACUGGGACACGGCCCAGACUCCUACGGGAGGCAGCAGUAGGGAAUCUUCGGCAAUGGACGAAAGGCUGACCGAGCAACGCCGCGGGAGUGAAGAAGGGUUUCGGAUCGUAAAGCUCUGUUGUAAGGGAAGAACGGGUGUGAGAGUGGAAAGUUCACACUGUGACGGUAUCUUACCAGAAAGGGACGGCUAACUACGUG
rnacentral:rRNA from 1 species